CAUUUGUGUAGAGGAAUAUGUGCCACAUGCCAUUCUCCAGCCUGCUGUGGGGAUUCCUGGCCUUCAUCUUCUCUGGAUCCAGCAUGGCUCAGAAAGUUAUUCAAGACCAAGUAGAAACAGUCAAGCAAGAGGGGGCACUAGUCACCACCCUGAACUGUCGGUAUGAAACAAGUGACAGCGUCUACUAUAUAUUUUGGUAUAAGCAGCUGACAAGUGGAAAGCUCAUUUUCCUUAUUCGUCAGGCUUCUUCUGGCCAGAAUGCAAAGGAUGGCCGCUAUUCUAUAAACUUCCAGAAAGCAGCUAAAUCCAUCAGCCUCACCAUUUCAACCUUACAGCUGGAAGAUUCAGCAAAAUAUUUCUGUGCUCUCUGGGAACUCACGGUGUUUAAAGUAAUGGUACAAGCUGAACAAAAACCCCAGAGCUCAGUAAGAGAGUCCCCCCACUGCAGAAGCCAAGCUGCAAUGCACACCUGCAGAUCCCAGACACAAAAUAGCAGUGACUAUGGUUGCUUAAUCUGUGGUCUGGAUCAGAAGACUUAA